GCCCCUGUGGCCCAAUGGAUAAGGCGUCACCCUCCUAAGGUGAAUAUUGCGAGUUCGAAUCUCGCCAGGGGUU
rnacentral:tRNA from 1 species